GCAACGGCCGUACACAGGCGGCGGGCGCGGGCCGCGGUCGGUGGCGCAGGCGGGAAGGGGGACGGGUUGCUUUGCAAUUCUCAGCUGAAAUAAAGAUGGCUUCAAGAGAGAGAGAUUCACACGCACAGAGGACUGUUCCCAAACCAAAAGCAUCCCUCCGUUUAACACAGCCCGAGAGAGGGCCAGGUAUCUGCUAUUUGCUGAGCCCAUGCUGAGAAUAUGAAAACCAUGCUGGCCUCCCACGUCUUCGUGAUGGAUAACAGUUUACUUCAGAGAAGCCAAGCCAAGCGUAGACAAAGAGAAAAGAGGGAGGCCAGGAUCUUGAGGCUGCUCCGAGCUACAGAAGCCCACAGUCACCUCGGAAGCUGCGACUCUGCUGUCAGGAGGCAGGGGCGAAGGAAAUAAAUCAUCUGAUAUCCUGCCAGCAAACUGCCAGAGGCGCUUUGAGACUGGAGGAGUUUCUCCUGCCCCAAAAGAGCAUUAAAAAAAAAAAAAAAAAAAAAAGUCGGCUGAUAACUUGGACAGGGUUCAGAGGAAUCACAUAAAGGCAAUACUAGAAGAUGAAAGAAUUGGAAAAUUAAUUAGAAGAUGCUGAAAUUUUGAGGAACUCUUUGGAAUAGUUGAAGACAGAUGAUGGAUUGGGACAGAGGACCAGGAGUAGCCAGAUGUUUCAGGUACUGAGUUAAAUAAAUUCUUUCCCAACCUGUGCAACAGCUUCAGCUGCAGGAGAUGGGCCUUCAGAGCCAGAGGAACAGGCAGGUUGGUCACAUGAACUGGCCCAGGAUCUCUUCCUAAUAUAAAUUCUGCAAAAUUCUGCUUGCUCUGGAAUUGCAUGCACAUAAAUCAAACCGUAAUUAAAGCUUUACCCAUUUCAGUACCACCUGAUCAAUUAGAAAUAGAGAUUGUAUGGCGUUAAGCCAAAAAUUGCAUACAAAAACUGUUCAGCAUAUAGAAGUUGUUCUCAGCUUCGCACGUAAGUGAGAAACCUCAAAGCCAUGAGCAGUUUUUCCUCACAAUGAGUCCUGGGCCUUGCUCCAUUAAAACAGAAAUACCUGAAUGCUGUUUGUUCACAGUCAUAACCAUCAUUUUCUUUGUCUGCUGUCUUCUAGCCAGCAGGUCACGUCUGCUUGUGUUUAGAUGUGUCCACAGAGGAAUCCAACCUGCAAAUAAAGAACUGCAACAGACAUUGUGGUUUUGUUAUUACUGCUCAAGACUGAGAUUGUGUGAGAAAAACACUUUCCAGUUCAGAUGGAGGAAAUGGAAAGCACAAAGAUUCAUUACUUUGCUAUUCAACAGAACAGAUUUCUAAUGAAUCAUGUCUACCAAACAAUUUAGAGAUGAGGAAGUGAUGGAGAGAUGCUUUUCAUGCAAGUAGAAUAAAAAUCAGAGAAUAUA